CGGUAAUCCUGGUAUUUUGUGUUAAUUGUUUUUCUCAGGCAGGAGACCUCCUGUGAUUUACAUUCUGGAGCAGUGGGAUGACGGAUUGUGCCAGACAGCUCGUCACCUCUGGAGAAGACGAGCAGGGUCGUGACAGCUGCCCUGGAAAUGAAAGGGGAGAUAAGGAAGCUGAGGCCCAGAGAAGUAAAGAAGCUCACCCGAGGUCCCAUCGUCCACAAGAGGAGGAGUUGGGAUUUGCACAGAGGUCUUCUGGUGCUGGAAUCUGAGGUUUUGACCAUUAUUCUAUGUUGCCUCCCGAGGGCAAACUGGCAGAGGAAGUCUGCUGAGGAAAAGUUCUUGGUGGAAGUUCCCACUCCUGAAAACAAAAUGUUUCUCCUUCACCGUCUUCACAGCUGGCCGAGGGAGAGGCAUAGAAAGAGCCCAGGGGAUACAGGAAAAAAAUACUGUGAUGAACUCUCCUCCGUAUUUGGAAUUAUUCUCUUUGGAGAGACUCUAACAUAGAGUGAGUUCUAGUACCACAGCAGUGUUGUGAACCUCUAUUUUUCUUUCUUUGAUUAUUUUCUUCAUUUCUCAAAAUGUUAGGAAGAGAUUUGAAGACAAGGUGGUCCGAAUUCACAGCCUGGGAGAGGUAUGAAUUCAAAAUAAAUAUUUAUGUCCAGGAAAAAAAAUAUCUAAGCAAGCCUAUAUGUAAAAU
rnacentral:lncRNA from 1 species